rnacentral:rRNA from 1 species
UACGUAGGCAGCAAGCGUUGUUCGGAGUUACUGGGCGUAAAGGGUGUGUAGGCGGUUCUUUAAGUUUGGUGUGAAAUCUCCCGGCUCAACUGGGAGGGUGCGCCGAAUACUGAGGGACUAGAGUACGGGAGAGGAAAUUGGAAUUCCUGGUGUAGCGGUGAAAUGCGUAGAUAUCAGGAGGAACACCGGUGGUGUAGACGGCUUUCUGGACCGUAACUGACGCUGAGACACGAAAGCGUGGGUAGCAAACAGG